GACAGAGGGUGCAAACGUUGCUCGGAGUCACUGGGCAUAAAGCGCACGUAGGCCGUCUACUAAGUCCAAUGUGAAAUCCCCCGGCUCAACCGGGGAACUGCAUCGGAUACUGGCGGACUCGAGAGUUGUAGGGGUGGACGGAACUCCAGGUGGAGCGGUGAAAUGCGUAGAUAUCUGGAGGAACACCGGAGGCGAAAGCGGUCCACUGGGCAACUUCUGACGCUGAGGUGCGAAAGCUAGGGUAGCAAACGGG
rnacentral:rRNA from 1 species